rnacentral:rRNA from 1 species
CCUACGGGAGGCAGCAGUGAGGAAUAUUGGUCAAUGGGCUUACGCCUGAACCAGCCAAGUCGCGUGAGGGAAGACUGCCCUAUGGGUUGUAAACCUCUUUUGUCAGGGAGCAACGCCGGCUACGUGUAGCCGGACUGAGAGUACCUGAAGAAAAAGCAUCGGCUAACUCCGUGCCAGCAGCCGCGGUAAUACGGAGGAUGCGAGCGUUAUCCGGAUUUAUUGGGUUGAAAGGGUGCGUAGGCGGAAUGCCAAGUCAGCGGUAAAGUCGCGGGGCUCAACCUCGCUCCGCCGUUGAAACUGGCGUUCUUGAGUGGGCGAGAGGUAUGCGGAAUGCGUGGGGUAGCGGUGAAAUGCAUAGAUAUCACGCAGAACUCCGAUUGCGAAGGCAGCAUACCGGCGCCCAACUGACGCUGAAGCACGAAAGCGUGGGUAUCGAACAGGAUUAGAUACCCCAGUAGUC